rnacentral:rRNA from 1 species
UACGGAGGGUGCGAGCGUUGUCCGGAAUCACUGGGCGUAAAGGGCGCGUAGGCGGCCUGGUAAGUCGGGGGUGAAAUCCUGCGGCUUAACCGCAGGGCUGCCUUCUAAACUGUCAGGCUCGAGCACGGUAGAGGCAGAUGGAAUUCCCGGUGUAGCGGUGGAAUGCGCAGAUAUCAGGAAGAACACCGAUUGCGAAGGCAGCUCGCUGGAACGUUACUGACGCUGAGACGCGAAAGCGUGGGGAGCAAACAGG